CAAUUAAUUUGAUGAUUGACCUAGAGUAAUGGUACAAACUCCAGAAUAUGCGUUUUGCUGAAACAACCUUGUUACAGCCAUAAUUGAGAUAAAAUUAAAUUCAAAUGUGCAGUGAAUUUUUGCUAAGUUCCAAAUGCUUAUUUAUAGACAAUUUAUUUACUAAAACUAUCUAUUUAACUGAAAAAAUAAUCCAUACAUAAAUUGAUUAGUGAAAACAGAGAAAAAAAAUAUAUAAAUUGAUGUAACGCUUGACAAAUGUAAAAUAAUAAAAAUGCACAACAAUAGCAAUGAUCCUAGAACAAAGUGGAUAUUUACUUUAUUUUACCAUGCAAUUUGAUAGGGUUUCACUAUGACUAUUAGAUUUUAUUUUGGAUGUGCUUCUUUCAACAACAUUAACAAUACCUGUAUUUUUCUUUAUAGUUCUGAAGAUGACCAGCGCAGCCGUCAACUGAUGCAGUACCUCUAUAAUCAAUGUCAAUGAUUAUCUGAAAAUUUUGAGGCUAAUGCAUCACAAUUUGAUUUGGAUUUCCUUGAGCAACGCUAUGAGGAUAUCUACAACAUCACUGAUAUCGAUGACAUCUUGGACAGUGUAAAGGCGCUACUUUGCUUCUUAGGUGAAAAAAAUAACCACACUGGUGGGUUUAGACCUGCGUUGAUCACAUCUGGUGGCCGAGGACAGCCGUCAUGGGAUAUUUCAGACGAUCAACUAAAGUACCUGUUGGAGUACAAUUUCACAGUCCGUGAAUUUGGGGAACAGUUAGGUGUUAGCUACAGCACUGUAAGAAGAAGGAUGGCCGACAGCAAUCUCUCUGUCAGAAUGAAUUACAGCAACAUCAGUGAUGAGGAUCUCCAAAGAUUGGUGUGUAAUUUUAUCCAGGAGUGUCCUGAUUCUGGAAUAAAAACCGUCUUAGGAUAUCUUAAUAGUGUAGGACUAAGAGUCCAGAGAUCCAGAGUUAUGGAAACAAUGACGGUGGUGGAUCCAGUGGGCACCAUCUGUCGUGGCAUUGGCAUUAAUAUAAUACAGAGAAUAGUUUACUCUGUACCAUCACCCCUAGCACUGUGGCACAUUGACGGCAAUCACAAAUUGAUACGGUAGCGAAUUGUGAUUCAUGGUGGCAUAGACGGAUACAGCCGAAAGAUAAUGUUCCUCACUGCCAGCAGUAACAACGGAGCUACCACAGUUCCUCGAGCCUUCCUGGGAGCUGUACAGAAGUUUGGCUUGCCCGUCAGAGUACGAAGUGACAAAGAAGGAGAAAAUGUUAAAGUAGCUCGAUAUAUGUUAGAACAUCCUGAACGAGGAGGAGAAAGAAGAAGCUUUAUAACGUGGCGCAGUGUCCAUAACCAAAGAAUUGAGAGGCUGUGGAGAGAUGUUUGGUGUGUUGUCACCGUGAACUACCGUUAUGCACUGGAGUAUCUGGCUGACACUGCAGCUUUGAAUUCUGAUAAUGAACUGGAUUUGGCCUGCAUUAAUUUUGUAAUGCUGCCCAGGUUAAACCGGCAUUUAGAACUGUUUUCUGUGGCUUGGGACAGACAUUCACUAUCCACAGAGCAAGGCAGAUCACCUCAACAAUUGUGGAUUAGGGGUCAAUUACUGGCAAACACCUCAAUACCUGACCCUUCCUGCAAGCAGUUUGAUGAAGAACGUUAUGGGGUUGACUGGGAAGGACCAACCCCGCUGGACACAGACGACACUGUGAUCGUUCCAGACACACCAGAAGUUAUCAGAAGACAGGUUUCCAUGUUCCUUCAGGAAAGAAUCGACCCUCUGAGGGACAGUGACUGUUUUGGAAUGGACAUCUGUUUGGAGGCCUUGCAGUUGGCUAGGCAGACAUUCCCAGAUUUGUCAUAACUUUUUUUUUCGUGUAAUAUUUUUUUAUGAACCUAAUAUUGGAAGUUAAUUUUAUUUUAAAUUUUAUUUUUGAAACUAUAUCCAUUUUUUACUUCAAAAUUUGUUUGUGAAGACACAAACAAAUUUUGAAGUAAAAAAAUGGAAUUAGUGACUGGACUGUGUUGAUAGACGUUUCUGCUGCUUCUUACAGUUAAGCAGGUCACUCUGUUUUUGACUGCAAGAGCCACUUUUAUAACAAAUGUUUUAUUUGUUAUAAAUGUUUGCUCACAAUGUUCCAAUUAAAACAUUUUGUGGAUGGAAAAUAUUUGUCAUUAUUGCGGCCCAUUACUAGAUUUAACCCUUUUUAUGAAUUACUUCUGUUGUAAUGCAACCGUUCUAUUAUUGAGGGGGGCAGCGCAUACACCUCCUGUACCAGCAGUGAUGUUUAAAUAGUAGUCCUCGAUGUUGUUAAAAGCUUUGCUAACAAACAUCACCUAACUGCUUGUGUAUACAUGCCGUGUAUGAGUUGCAGCACCAAAACAGGUGACUUACCACACAUUUGAAUGUGAUAAACGUGCCUGACAUCAAGUUGUCUUUCUGUGUCUAAAGGUUGGAUUUGAGCAGGCUAUUUCCCAACAAAGUGAAAUACAGAGGGACAAACAGCACCAACUCUUCAGAAUACUUAAUUUUGAGGGAUGAUAUUGUGGUAAUUUAGCAUCUACUGUAAAGCAGAAUCUCCAUCUGUUAUAUCUUAAUUUAUAAAAUUUCACAACACUUUUAUAAAAAAAAACUGAUCAGCUUUCUUUUGAACAUGGUGUGGUUGUGUCAGAGGUCAGUGGAUGGCCCUAGGUGACAGAUGUUGCAUGGUGCACACAGUAAAACUGUACCAGAUCUUAUAAGAUGGAUGUAUUGUAACAGUGCUUUUGGCAGAAUUUUAGCCCUGUUGUUGUACAUUACAGAAAUACUGUCCUUUUCCUCCUCUGUAAAUUAAAUUUUUGUCAACAGUAUUGCAGUCAUCCAUUUUCUUUCUCUCUUUCUGGAGCCGGGUCACGGAGGCAGCAGUCCGAGCAAGGAUGUUGACUGUAUUAAACAAAGGAGAAGAUUUACUUUGUGCCAAUCUUGACUGUGCAAAACCUAGAAUGCUUCGUAUGAAAUCAGAUGUUAUUUAUCCUAAAACUUUGCAGGGAGACCCCAGAGCCUCUGAUUAAAAAAGGGUGGCGUUUUGAUCAUUUUAAACAUCAAAAUACAAUAUUAUUGUGGCCUAUUAUUUAAGUGAACCCUUUUUAUAAAUUAUGGGUUGCAUUUUGUUAGAGUCCUCCAAGGGUAAGUAUGUAUUGUCAGUUGAUAAUAUAAAUAACUUUCAUGAAA